rnacentral:tRNA from 1 species
GCGUCGAGGGCGUGGACGUGGUCGUGGAGCGCUCCGGACGCUUCGAGCGCCGCCUGACCGUCGGCGGACGCACGUUCGGCGUGCUCUCGGUGCA